rnacentral:tRNA from 1 species
GCCUCAUUGGCUCAGGGGCAGAGCGUAAACAGAAGGUCGCUGGUUCGAUUCCAGCAUGAGGCA